UACGUAGGGUGCGAGCGUUGUCCGGAAUUACUGGGCGUAAAGAGCUCGUAGGUGGUUUGUCGCGUUGUUCGUGAAAACCGGGGGCUUAACCCUCGGCGUGCGGGCGAUACGGGCAGACUUGAGUACUGCAGGGGAGACCGGAAUUCCUGGUGUAGCGGUGGAAUGCGCAGAUAUCAGGAGGAACACCGGUGGCGAAGGCGGGUCUCUGGGCAGUAACUGACGCUGAGGCGCGAAAGCGUGGGGAGCAAACAGG
rnacentral:rRNA from 1 species